rnacentral:rRNA from 1 species
AUCCUGCGCAAUGGCCGAAAGGCUGACGCAGCGACGCCGCGUGUGGGAGGACGCCCUUCGGGGUGUAAACCACUGUUGCCCGGGACGAAUGGCUCGUUUUGGCGAGCUUGACGGUACCGGGUGAGGAAGCGCCGGCUAACUCCGUGCCAGCAGCCGCGGUCAUGCGGAGGGCGCGAGCGUCGUCCGGAAUCACUGGGCGUAAAGGGCGCGUAGGCGGCUCGAUAAGGCUUGCGUGAAAGUCCGGGGCUCAACCCCGGAUCGGCGCGGGCGACUGUUGGGCUGGAGCACGGUAGGGGCAGACGGAAUUCCGGGUGUAGCGGUGGAAUGCGUAGAGAUCCGGAAGAACACCGGUGGCGAAGGCGGUCUGCUGGGCCGGAAGGGGGCAGAGCAAUCUGUCCCCGUGCUGACGCUGAGGCGCGACAGCGUGGGGAGCAAAC